rnacentral:rRNA from 1 species
CAGUCGCCGCGGUAAAACGAAGGGUGCAAGCGUUAAUCGGAAUUACUGGGCGUAAAGCGUGCGUAGGCGGUGAGUUAAGUCUGCUGUGAAAUCCCCGGGCUCAACCUGGGAAUGGCAGUGGAUACUGGCUCGCUAGAGUGUGUCAGAGGAUGGUGGAAUUCCCGGUGUAGCGGUGAAAUGCGUAGAGAUCUGGAGGAAUACCGAUGGCGAAGGCAGCCAUCUGGCCUAAUACUGACGCUGAGGUACGAAAGCAUGGGGAGCAAACAGGAUUAGAUACCCCUGUAGUCCCUGUCUCUUAUAC